rnacentral:lncRNA from 1 species
AUGCAAAGCAUGAAAGGAAAAACUGAGAACCUUCUAGAUCCUUCCAGAUUCUCAUGGCCAACUUUUUACCCCAUGGUUAAAGGAACUCCUUUCAAAGGAGACAUCAUGAAAGCUGAAAGAGGACUUUCCCGCCGUGGAGGGAGGUGGAAGGACUUGGCCACUGGGCCCCUGCCCUGCCCGGCCCUACCUUGUUUAAACACACGUGGUGCUCACAGCUCCAUCUUACACUACCGAAGCCGCACUGUUUUGAAAAGCUGAUGUUGUGGAAUCCUUAAGUCAUCUGUGACCUAGGUCACUAAAGACAGGAGCGAUUUAGUCAAAGUAUUAAUUGAAACUCUCCUGACAAGCUCUACUUCUUCAGAUAAAGUUACACAUCAAACCCACACAGGCGGCCCGGCUAUUCUGAGCAGGCUGAGCUUUUCAAUAUCUCAUAAACAGGCCCCUCAAUCACUACAAUCUAAUAAGGCUAUAAUCAUCAUUGACACUAUAAUGAUUAAAAUGAAUAAAACCCAUUAAGAAAAGUCA